UGGAGCAUGGUCACUCUGCAGUCCCUUCUCUGUUACUCCCUCAUUUGGGAUGUUGGGCACUCACACACCCACAUGUUCCUGGUGUGUUUUUCAGGCCAUGAAGGUUGGGGUCUGAACCACCACUGGUCAUGUGGGAUCUGGCUCCCUUUAACCACUAGGCUACAGUCUCAACUCUCCUGUAAUCCUGUUUCUAAACAUAUAUUCCAAGGGAACGAACAGCAUUAUUCAACAGUAGGGUUGAAAUGUUAGUUACUGAGAGUAAAGACAGGUACCUGGAAACAUGGCGGUAGGGGACUGAUUAAACACAUCCUACUAGUUUCAUUAGAUGCAAAAUUAUGAAGCCUUUAUAAAGCACAUUUAAAAAAAUAUAUUUCAAGAUGUGGGGAAGUGCUUGUAAUGUGAUGGGAAAUUAGGCAAGAAUACCUUAAUUUGGCUGAACUCACUGGCACUGAGUUUUCUAUGUAGCUGCUACUUUCAUUAUUGAUAAUCCAGAAUCGCAGGUCACUAGGCUGCCUCGCUCCUGUCCAUCGCUAGGUUGAAAUGUCUGAAUGCCCCAGCUUCCUGCUGUUCUCACCAGUGAGCUAACCAGCUGGGGGCCUUGAGCUCCUGCCGCCCCUCCAGUGAGCAGCCUCCCUCCUGCACCUCCCUCUCCAUGCUGCUUCAGCUGCUGCUGUUUGUGGCUGGGCACUGCCAUCUAGAGGCUCCUACACCGCAGGGCAUCUGACCCUUACAGCCCUGGCCCAGCACAGGCUCCAGCGCCCCCACCUGCAGCCGCAGGGCAGAGAGGUCUCUUGCAUCACCACACCUGUAACGUGACCCCCAGGAGGGUCGUGUGUUUUCUGGAAGCCUCUGAGAACGUUAACCCUCGAGGGAGCCUCAAGAUGCCUUUUGCCAAGAUCUUUAGGUGGGUCAAGGAAGACUUCAGCAUGUGUUUCUGUGGUCCUUGGAGACUACAAAAGACACCUGGUGGCAGACACUUAGUAUUUUUUUUUUUUUGAAAGAAUUAUUUGAUUUAACUUAAUUUUAUUUUGACCAGAUAGGGACAUAAUGAGAGAGAGAGAUGGAAGGUAAGUAAGCAAACUGCCAGGUCUGGGACUCGAACCAUGGUCAGACAUGUGGAAGUCCAGCACCUUUAACCACCACACCACCUGCUGGCCCCGGCAACCACUAGUAUUAAUAAUAAGGAUCCAAAGCCCUUCCCAAGCCUGCAACUCAGACCUUGCUGCAGGGAGAAGGGUUGUAGAAUAUCUAAAUCUGAACACUUCCCAGGAGGCUCUGGCUUGAGAACCAUCGACUUUGACCAGUGAGUCCUGAUGGUUUGGUGGUGGUAGGCGUGGCUCUUUGAGAAUGUGUGGAGGGGGUGCCCACAGGUACUUCCCCCAGAAAAAUUCUAGGAGUUUGCUUGAGUCUUUCAGCCUCCGUGUAUCUGUGGAUCUAGAUUAAGAGUCUCUUCUCUGAUUUAACCGAGACGAGGACACUCAGGGUAGGUGUCAUUGACCUUGCUUCAUGGGCACAGUCAUGGGUGCGAUGUGGUUCUGUCCACAUGGAGUUGCAGGCUGAUGAGGGAGGGCAGGCAAGUCCGGACAGUGGGGUCAGCCUCUGCCCAGGUCCCAAGUCAAGGAGUGUAGGUGGCAAGGGACUGAAGACCGUGUGCCUGGCCCCUAUAGAGAGCAGGAGGUGGAGACUGAGGAGAGGGAUGGGCAGGCCAACGUGAAGAACUCAGAUUUGCUUCCAAGAAUUGUGGACAGCUAUUAGAUGCUCUGAGGCUAGGUAAGUUCCCAAGAGGCUGUAAAGCAUCCAUUAGCAGCAUUAUUGUCGAGGCCCCAAAGAGGAGCAGUUCUCACCAGUGAGCUAACCAGCUGGGGGCCUUGAGCUCCUGCCCCCCUGCCAGUGCGCACCCUCCCUCCUGCACCUCCCUCUGCAUGCUGCUUCAUCUGCUGCUGUUUGUGGCUGGGCACUGCCAUCUAGAGGCUCCUACACCGCAGGGCAUCUGACCCUUACAGCCCUGGCCCAGCACAGGUUCCAGCACCCCCACCGGCCCACGUGCCCGUCACCAGAUGGGUGGAUAGGCCCAGCUGUGGUGGAACAGGUGUUGGGUGCUGCUGUCCAGGGCAGGGCCAGCAGGAGGCCCGGGUUGGGGUCGUGGACCAACCUGAGCAUCCGGUGGGGUUGUGAGCAUCUGUGCUCUGGCUAACUGGGAUGCUGGGGCAGAGGAUGCAGCAGUCUGCCACUAAAGAGAGGGGACCAAAAAUAGGGGCCAGCCCCACAACCUACUGGUUAAGGAAGCCAGUUCCCACAUGGCCAACCAUGGUUUGAAUCCUGGCCCUGGUGGCGUGAAAAACAUACUGGGUGUGUGCAUGUGUGCUCCCAAAUCCGGACAGGAUGGAGGGACUGAGGAGAAGGGAUUGCAGCUUGACCAUGUCCACUAGGGAUGCUUUCUACCCCCCACGCCCCACCCUGUGUCUUUCUCUGAUGAACAAAAUACAGCAUGCGUGAUUCCAUGGAUGGGAAAUGUCCGGAGAAGGUAAUUCGGUCCAUUGGCAUUGGCGGUGGAGGGAAGGGUAGAAUGGGGGCGAGUGCUCCUGUUCUGUGGGGUGUCGUUCUGGGGCGAUGAAAAUGUUCUGGAAUUAGAUAAACUGUGGUGAUUGCAUAACAUGGUAUACUGAAACCACCGAACUGUGCACUUUAAAAUGGCGAGUUUCAUGUUAUGUGAAUUUUUAUCUCAGUAAAAAUGUUGCAAAUUAUCUAUGGAUUUAAAAGACACAGAGUUCAAAAGAAAAACAGCUGUGAGAGGCACCUGCCGUGUGGUCGUGUGGUCAUGAAGUCCCCGCUUCCCCGCCCGGCUGCUGUGGAGUGUGCACAGAAGAGCCUUGGAGGACGCUGGGCUCCUGGCAGAAGACUCAGUGGCUCCUUGGGCAGGAGCAACCCUGUCUGGACCAGGCGGAGCAGUGGACUGAGGGGGAUUUGCACAUGUUCCCACAGACCCAGGCUGCGAGAUGGAAGGGAAGGAUGCUCCCUGUUCAUCCCUGCCUGCCUCAGGGAGGGGACGGUUAUUGGACUGCAGUGGCAAGGAUGUGAAGAGAAAGAACACGGGAGGACCAAGGACCAUACAGGCCAAUGAAUUGCUCUCGGCUCCUGCCCAGCCGGUGAUCUGAUGGAGACUCGCACCUGCAUCUCUGCUUCUGGUCCAGGUCUUCUUUGACCCUUCAGCAGCCCCCCUUCCCAGGGGUCCUGUCCCUCACUGGAAUGAGCUGGGGUCCUUUCUUGAGAAUGAAUGUAUGUGUAGAAUUUGAGUCUAGUUUUCUCUCCAGGAAUGUCUUUGUCCCCUGGGGUGCAGGGGAAUAGAGUGUUACUUUUUUAUGGCCAGGAAAACAUUAAUGAAAAAUGAACCAUCAGUGAAAUUAAUUUAAAAGAUUUAUGCAUUCACGGUGACUAACAAGCCUGCACCUGCUCAUUUGACACCCUUUAACAGCUCCCCCUCACCCCCCCUUCCUGCCCUCUUAAAAUUCUCCCCCUUCCCUGAAGACACCUGGCUGGUGUGCUGAGCAGUUAAAUAAACGUACAGCAGGGUAGAGACACGGCUUGUUAAUUAAAAAUGCAGCUCUGCCACUUGGAAGUUAUGCAGAGACGGGCCAGACUGAGCAGAAAGAGCUGCCAUCGAGGAGAUGCUGCUUGGAUUUUUAUGUGCCCCGUAAAAGGGCCCUGGAGUAACGGGACGAGACAGACAACCAUCGGCUUUCUCACUGAGCUCCCUGCACCUUUCCACACAGGAUCAUCUUCUCUCUGGGCCUGACCUCCCUUCGUCUCUGCUGCAGGGUGGGCACCUUCCCUGGAUAAACGCACAAGAGCGUCCUCCUCUCUACCUUCCCCAUCCAUCCACUGUCACAGGCCCAGCAUCUUUCUCUCUGUGACACUGACCCUAAAUAAUCUGUCAUGGUUUCCUUGUGCACGUUGAUGGAUGAAGCCUCCCAGAGAUUGCCUUGGACUCCUCCUAGCUGGCAGCUCUCUCAGAUGUGAGAAACUUGCCUGUUGGAAUUUCUUGGUAAGAAGCUACAGAGGGGGGCCGGCAAGUGUUGUGGUGGUUAGGAGCACUGGACUCC